rnacentral:rRNA from 1 species
GGAGUUUGGACCGUGUCUCAGUUCCAAUGUGGGGGACCUUCCUCUCAGAACCCCUACUGAUCGUCGACUUGGUGAGCCGUUACCCCACCAACUAUCUAAUCAGAAGCGUGCUCACCCAUAGUCCUUACGUUUCAAGCGUGUGUCAUGCGGCACUCGCUCACAUGGAGCAUUAAUCCAACUUUCGCUGGGCUAUUCCCCGACUAUGGACAGAUUGCACACCUGUUACGCACCCGUGCGCCGGUCGCCGCCAGGGUAUUGCUACCCCGCGCUGCCCCUCGACUUGCAUGUGUUAAGCCUGCCGCUAGCGUUCAUCCUGAGCCAUGAUCAAACUACU